UCUUGAAAGAGUACAUUACCAUUUUUAUAAAUUACUAUUCUUUACGUGCUACUUACACAACUAGGUAAUAAGUAUUAAAAUGUAGGAUUGUUGUAAACCUGGGCAUGUGCCAAUGAAUAAAGAAGAAUAAACGGAGUUCCUCACAAGCUGUAUCUAAUCCAGUUUUAACCUCAUUUACCAAGAAUCACAAUCAGAAUCUAACAACCCAAAUUCUUGUUUGUUUCACUAUUCUGCUGAUCACUUCCCUUCUUCUUCCCCUGUGAUCUUUCGGUUCCUGCAUGACCGAUAACUCAUGGCUCUGCAAUUAGUGGGUGGAGCUUUUCUCUCUUCAUUUCUCUCUGUUUUGUUUGAUAGACUUGCCUCUCGUCAAGUAGUUGACUUCAUCUCCAAACAGAAAGUCAACUAUGGAUUGCUCAAGAAGUUAAAGAUGAAGUUGAUUUCUGUGAAUGCAGUGCUCGAUGAUGCAGAGGAGAAGCAAAUCAGAAACCCAAAUGUGAGGGAGUGGCUUGAUGAGCUUAAAGAUGCUUUGUAUGUUGCAGGGGACUUGCUCGAUGAGAUCAAUACCGAAGCUCUACGUGGUCAGGUACACAAUCUCAGCUCUACUAAUUCACUAGAUGAAUUUGAUAAAACUAUGGAGCACAAGUUAUUGGAGACUCUUGAGAGAUUAGAACUUAUUAUGAAGGAAAAAGAUGAGUUUGGUUUGAAAGAAAAUUUUAAAGAUAAACCACAACCAGCAAGAUUACUUGAAGCUUCUUCUCUGGUAAAUGAUGUUGAUGUGUAUGGAAGGGAGAAGGACAAGAAGUUCAUCAUUGACCUGUUGUUAUCGGACAAUGCAAUCAAUGAUAAGAUAAGUGUGAUUCCUGUUGUGGGCAUGGGUGGGAUCGGUAAGACUACUCUUGCUCAGCUCGUAUACAAUGAUGAAAGAGUAAAGCUACAUUUUGACCUCCAAGCAUGGGUUUGUGUAUCUGUAGAAUUUGAUAUUCUUAGAAUAACACAAAAACUGUACGGGUCAAUUACUUCACAAUCUUGUGGUGUGACAGAACUUGAUCCGCUUCAAGUUAAGCUGAAGGAACUUUUGACAGAAAAGAAGUUUCUUCUUGUUCUAGAUGAUGUUUGGAAUGAGAAUAAUAUCAACUGGGAUGUAUUUAAGCGUCCCUUGGAAUCAGGAGCACGAGGGAGUAAGAUUAUUGUCACGACACGCAAUGAAGGUGUUUCUUCUGUGAUGGGUACUGUUGCAAGUCACCGUUUAAUGCAAAUGUCUGAGGAGGAUUGUUGGUUGUUAUUUGCAAAGCAUGCCUUCAAAAAUGCUGAUGUGCUGAGAUCAAAUCCAAAUCUUGAAGUAAUUGGAAGACAGAUUGUUAGAAAAUGUAAAGGCCUUCCUUUAGCUGCAAAGUCACUUGGGGGCCUCUUACGCUCUGAAUUGAGUAUUGGGAAAUGGGAAAAUAUACUGAAGAGUGACUUAUGGGACUUGUCGGAUAGGGAGAUGAACAUUCUGCCUGCUUUGUGGUUGAGCUACCAUCAUCUGCCUUCACAUCUGAAGCGUUGUUUUGCCUAUUGUUCGAUAUUUCCCAAAGGCUAUGAAUUUAAAAGCUCAGAGUUAGUUUUGUUGUGGAUGGCUGAAGAUCUCUUGCAACCAAAAAGUAAGAAAACGUUGGAAGAAGUUGGAGAGGAAUACUUCGAUAUUCUAAUCUCGAGGUCAUUUUUCCAACAUUUAUUUGAUAAUUAUCGUCAUGAUCCGAUUUUCACCAUGCAUGAUCUCAUAAAUGAUUUGGCAAAGGUUGUAUCAGGAGAGUUUUCUAUUAGGUUGGAAGAAGAAGAGUCAUUCAACAUUGUAAGCAAAGCUCGUCACUUUUCAUAUAUGAAGACAAGUGCUCAUGGCUUUGAGAAAUUUGAGGCUUUAUAUAGAGCCAAGUAUCUGCGCACCUUCCUAUCAUUCCGACCAUAUUCUCCACAUCAAUACUUUCCAAUGUCAAAUAAGGUGCUAUAUGAUCUAUUGCCAAUGCUACAAUAUUUAAGAGUGCUCAAUUUAUCAGAUUAUGAUAUUAAGGAGUUGCCUGGUUCAGUUUGCAACUUGAAACAUCUAAGGCACUUGGAUUUGUCUCGCAGUUCUAUUGAAAAAUUGCCUGAUACACUGUGUAGCUUGUAUAAUUUACAAACAUUAGUGUUGCGGAAUUGUGGAGCUAUUUCCAUGUUGCCAAGCCAUUUUGGGAGACUAAUCAACUUGCGCCAUCUUGAUGUUCGAGGGACAGGGUUAGAAAAGAUGCCACCAAACAUGGGUAAACUGAAAGAUCUGCAACUUUUAACUGACUUCAUAUUAGACAAGCAUAGUGGCUAUAACAUUGCAGAGUUAAAGGUGCUUCAGAAUUUGCAGGGAACUCUUCAUAUUUCAGGGUUGCAUAACAUUAUCCAUGUUGGAGAUGCUUUGGAGGCCAAUAUGAGGGACAAGAAGUAUCUCACUGAGCUAGUCUUGAAAUGGGGAGAUGAUAUUGAGGAUUCACAAAAGGACAGAGAAGUCCUGGACAAGCUCCAACCCCAUGUAAACCUAAAAGAACUUGUGAUUGAAUUCUAUGGGGGUACAAGGUUUCCAGAUUGGUUAGGAGAUGAGUCUUUCUCCCAUCUAGCUCAUGUUAGAUUUUCAGAUUGUAAAUUCUGUUGCUUCUUGCCACCACUUGGACAGCUACCCUCCCUACGAACACUUUGGAUUCAGAGGUUAAAUGAAGUAGUGUCUAUAGGUCCUGAGUUUUAUGGUGGCAAUAGUAAUGGUGUAUUGAAGCCAUUUAGAUCUCUGAAAGAAUUGCGGAUUAUGAAUAUGAUGGAAUGGCGAAAAUGGUAUGAUAUUGGUGGUAACAAAGAAGGUGGAAAUUUUCCUAAUCUUUGUGGUCUCCAUGUUAGUAAUUGUCCCAAGCUAAAUGAGAUAUUACCAUUGGAUAACUUCCCAAAGCUUGAAUGGCUAGAGUUGUGGAAUCUGGAAUCCUUCAGUGGUUCACUUUCACAAGAAUCUCAUUGUCUCGUGACCCCCUCUCUUAGUAGAUUGGAAAUAUGGGGUUGCCCAAAUUUUGUAAGUUUUCCUAGUUAUGGAAGGACAAAUGCUCCCAAAUUGGCAGAUUUGGAUAUCCGCACAUGUGUGAAGUUUCGGUCAUUGCCAGAACAAAUGCACACCUUUGCCCCAUUUCUUCAGCAUUUGACCAUAAGAAAUUGCCCAGAAUUUGAAUCAUUUCCAGAAGGAGGAUUGCCACUGGCAUUGAAAUCCCUCGAGUUUCAUUGCUCUGAAAGACUCUUUGCAAGCCGCACACAAUGGAGUCUACAAAGACUAAGCUCUCUAAGGAAGUUGAUAAUCAGAUUCAAGGAAUGUGAAGUAGAAGUGGAUUCAUUUCCAGAGGAGGGGAUGCUGCCUACCUCCCUCACUUACCUCUCCUUCUCCAAUCUCCCCAGUGUUAUGAGGAUGGAUGGCAAGGAGCUGAACCGCCUCAUUUCUCUUGAAGAUUUGACGAUAUUGGACUGCCCUGAGCUCCGGUACUUGCCAGAAGAAGGGCUCCCGAGUUCUCUUUCUCAACUGAGAAUUUGGGGAUGCCCCUUGCUUGUAGAACGAUGCCAGAGAGACAAAGGCAAAGAUUGGCCUAAGAUUUCUCACAUUCCUCACAUAACCAUUGAUGGAUGUGAAAUAUGAUCACUCUAUUCAUUCUACCAGGACACCAGGAAGCCAACCAGCUAGCUAGAAGUUGCAGGGCAUGGAACUCUCGAUUUUGUGAUAUUGACCGAGAUUAUCUACUUUAAGGAAGCUGUAUUUUGGAUUUUUGGUGAUGGGAAAUGGCUUUGCAUCUUAUUGAUACCAUUAGGCCUUGAAUUACUCUCUGUGGUGCUGGAGGUGGGGAGGGAUUAUUCUGGCUCGUUUGUCAAGUACCAAGUUUGAAAUUGAGAAGCAUUUCUCUAAUUUCGUUGGCAUUUCCCUAAUUUUCAUCGGCAAUGUUUCUCGACUAACG